GCCCCCGUAUCCCAAUCGGCAGAGGAAAUCGCCUUAAAAGCGACUCAGUCUGGGUUCGAGUCCCAGCGGGGGCACCA
rnacentral:tRNA from 1 species